UGGGGAAUCUUGCGCAAUGGACGAAAGUCUGACGCAGCAACGCCGCGUGUGUGAUGAAGGCUCUCGGGUCGUAAAGCACUGUCAGGAGGGAAGAACGCAGACGGUACCUCCAAAGGAAGCGCCGGCUAACUCCGUGCCAGCAGCCGCGGUAAUACGGAGGGCGCAAACGUUGCUCGGAAUCAUUGGGCGUAAAGCGUACGUAGGCGGCUUAUCAAGUCUGGUGUGAAAGCCCGGGGCUCAACCUCGGAAUGCCACUGGAAACUGGUAAGCUUGAGAGUGAGAGGGGUUAGUGGAAUUUCUGGUGUAGGGGUGAAAUCCGUAGAGAUCAGAAGGAACACCGGUGGCGAAGGCGACUGACUGGAUCACAUCUGACGCUGAGGUACGAAAGCGUGGUUAGCAAACAGG
rnacentral:rRNA from 1 species